UACGGGGGAUGCAAGCGUUAUCCGGAAUUAUUGGGCGUAAAGCGUCCGUAGGUGGCUAUACAAGUCUGUUGUCAAAGCGUGCGGCUUAACCGCAUACGGGCGAUGGAAACUGUAAAGCUAGAGUGCGAUAGGGGUCAGGGGAAUUCCCGGUGUAGAGGUGAAAUUCGUAGAUAUCGAGAGGAACACCGGUGGCGAAGGCGGCCAACUGGACGAGUACUGACGCUGAGACACGAAAGCGUGGGGAGCAAACAGG
rnacentral:rRNA from 1 species